rnacentral:misc_RNA from 1 species
UCCGAGUUGACCCCGACAGUCUUCGAUGAGUCCCCGCCAUAACGCGCUGGCAACAUAGGACGAGGGUUGCGCUCGUUGCGGGACUUAACCCAACAUCUCACGACACGAGCUGACGACAACCAUGCACCACCUGUACACCCCCAAAAGAAGCCCCAUCUCUGAGGCGGCAGGGUGUAUGUCAAACCCAGGUAAGGUUCUUCGCGUUGCAUCGAAUUAAUCCGCAUGCUCCGCCGCUUGUGCGGGCCCCCGUCAAUUCCUUUGAGUUUUAGCCUUGCGGCCGUACUCCCCAGGCGGGGCGCUUAAUGCGUUAGCUACGGCACGGAACCCGUCUAUAGGGUCCCACACCUAGUGCCCAACGUUUACGGCGUGGACUAC